rnacentral:rRNA from 1 species
UACCCGCAGCACAAGUGGUGGUCAUUAUUAUUGGGCCUAAAGCGUCCGUAGCUGGCUUGUUAGAUGCCUGGGUAAAUCGAUGCGCUCAACGCAUCGAACUCCGGGUAGACCGGCAAGCUUGGGACCGGGAGAGGCGUGAGCUACUCGGGGGGUAGGGGUAAAAUCCUGUAAUCCUCCGGGGAGGACCAGUGGCGAAGGCGUCACGCUAGAACGGCUCCGACAGUGAGGGACGAAGCCCUGGGGCGCAAACCGG